rnacentral:lncRNA from 1 species
GAGACCACACUUCAUGAUGUCAACAUGGAGGAUGAGACUAGGAGGAGGCAGCAACAAGCUGCUCAGGAGGCAUAUGAGGAGGAUGAUGAUAUGCCUGGUGGUGCACAGAGGGUACAGUGCGCCCAGCAGUGAUGACUUGUGUGGAAGGAAUGUAGAAUCAGAAUUAUAUAAAAUGAAUGAUGAUGAUGAUACUGUUGAUGAUCCGUAACUGUAGCGUGGACUAUGGACUAAAGACGAGUAGCGUUGUAGUAGUGUUUGAUUGUGAGAAAGUGAAGAACAUUAAUACUGUGGAAAGGAUAAUUUCUGUUCUGGCAUCCUAAAUACUUCUGUUUAUUGGUUUAUUUUAAGCAUAUUUGUUUCGG